rnacentral:piRNA from 1 species
UGAAAGAAGAAAAAGGCCGAAGUUCUGGCGC